rnacentral:rRNA from 1 species
CCAGACUCCUACGGGAGGCAGCAGUGGGGGAUAUUGCACAAUGGGGGGAACCCUGAUGCAGCGACGCCGCGUGGGUGAAGAAGUAUUUCGGUAUGUAAAGCCCUAUCGGCAGGGAAGAAAUUGGACGGUACCUGACUAAGAAGCCCCGGCUAACUACGUGCCAGCAGCCGCGGGAAUACGUAGGGGGCAAGCGUUAUCCGGAUUUACUGGGUGUAAAGGGAGCGUAGACGGCGGGGCAAGUCUGGAGUGAAAGGCCGGGGCCCAACCCCGGGACCGCUCUGGAAACUGCCCGGCUGGAGUGCGGGAGAGGUAAGCGGAAUUCCUAGUGUAGCGGUGAAAUGCGUAGAUAUUAGGAGGAACACCAGCGGCGAAGGCGGCUUACUGGACCGUGACUGACGUUGAGGCUCGAAAGCGUGGGGAGCAAACAGGAUUAGAUACCCCCGUAUC